rnacentral:rRNA from 1 species
UACGUAGGGGGCAAGCGUUGUUCGGAAUUACUGGGCGUAAAGGGCGCGUAGGCGGCAUGGCAAGUCAGGAGUGAAAGGCCUGGGCUCAACCGAGGAACUGCUUUUGAUACUGCCAAGCUAGAGUGCGGAAGGGGCAACUGGAAUUCCCAGUGUAGCGGUGAAAUGCGUAGAUAUUGGGAAGAACACCUGAGGCGAAGGCGGGUUGCUGGGCCGACACUGACGCUGAGGCUCGAAAGCGUGGGGAGCAAACAGG